rnacentral:lncRNA from 1 species
UGGUGCAUUAGUGGAGUGUUAACCGAAAUUAUUUUUGGUGGUGUGUAGGCAAGUUUCGGGGACGAAACUUUCUUUAAGAGGGGGAUGAUGUAAGGACUGAGAUUUUGGCAGUGUAGCUAAACUCUCUGUUGACGAUGUUUUUGUGUGUAAUUCAAUUACAAAAGCAGUCGUCAAGUUUCGAGAGAAAACGAGUUAGAACGUAGAUUUUACGAGAUCUCCAAGUUUCACUUAAAGUGAAUAGUA